rnacentral:lncRNA from 1 species
AUGUCACACCUGCACUGUGAAGAACUCAUGGUGACAUUGAGGCCAUUUAAUUUUGGACCAUAUAUUCUUAUUAUGUGGCAGAGACUAAUAACUUUUAACAGUACCACAGGUACUGGGAUAUCCCUUGUUUUGCUUGGGCAGCCUUGGCGAGGGGCAGGAGCUUGUGGGCACACGUGGCUAGUGUGCUUUGUGUGCCUUAUGUGCCUUGCCUCCUGUGGUUUUUGUGCUUUGUGUGCCCUGCGUGUUGGUGGCUCUGGCUCCGAGUCCGGUGUCGCCAUACCCAGCCCUGGUGCCCGGGCUGUGUGCUCUGCGUGUCUGUGCUGUGUCCGUGAGGCUGCGGGGCAUAGCGAGAAGGAAUUCCCGUUGAGUGUGCUGACAUCUUGUGGCUGGAUGGAUAUUUCAACAAGUCAUGUGUAUGCUGAGGGGAGGCAAUUCCUGCACAGCAUCUUGGGAUCUCCUGCUCUUCUUGAAGUCUUCAGCCAAAGGCCCCAUGCUGAGAAACAUUUUGAAUUUGACUACACAACAUUGAUUGUUUUUCUUCUUUCUCGGUUGGAUUUUCUUAUUUCACCUCAAGCCCCAUAAUUUUGGGGGAAAAAUAAAUACAUUUAUUUUCUUCA